ACCAGACUCCUACGGGAGGCAGCAGUGGGGGAUAUUGCACAAUGGGGGGAACCCUGAUGCAGCGACGCCGCGUGGGUGAAGAAGCGCCUCGGCGCGUAAAGCCCUGUCAGCAGGGAAGAAAAUGACGGUACCUGAAGAAGAAGCCCCGGCUAACUACGUGCCAGCAGCCGCGGUAAUACGUAGGGGGCAAGCGUUAUCCGGAUUUACUGGGUGUAAAGGGAGCGUAGACGGCCAAGCAAGCCAGGGGUGAAAGUCCGGGGCCCAACCCCGGGACUGCCCUUGGAACUGCAUGGCUGGAGUGCGGGAGGGGCAGGCGGAAUUCCUGGUGUAGCGGUGAAAUGCGUAGAUAUCAGGAGGAACACCGGCGGCGAAGGCGGCCUGCUGGACCGUGACUGACGUUGAGGCUCGAGAGCGUGGGGAGCAAACAGGAUUAGAUACCCGUGUA
rnacentral:rRNA from 1 species